rnacentral:rRNA from 1 species
AGUGAACGCUGGCGGCGUGCCUAAUACAUGCAAGUCGAACGGAGUGGCGCACGGGUGAGUAAUAUAUCGCUAAUCUGCCCCUUGCUGGAGGACAACAGUUAGAAAUGACUGCUAAUACUCCAUAGCAAGGGAUGAGACUAUAUCGUAUCAGCUAGUCGGUGGGGUAACGGCCUACCGAGGCUAUGACGCGUAACUGGUCUGAGAGGAUGAUCAGUCACAGUGGAAGUGAGACACGGUCCAAACUCCGACGGGAUGCAGCAGUAGGGAAUAGUGCGCAAGGGGCGAAACCCUGAAGCAGCAACGCCGCGUGGAGGAUGAUACUUUUCGGAGCGUAAACGCCUUUUGUUAGGGAAGCGGUACCUAACGAAGAAGCACCGGCUAACUCCGUGCCAGCAGCCGCGGUAAUAC